AGAGUUUGAUCCUGGCUCAGGAUGAACGCUGGCGGCGUGCCUAACACAUGCAAGUCGAACGGAGUUACGAUGAAACCUAGUGAUUCGUAACUUAGUGGCGGACGGGUGAGUAACGCGUGGAUAACCUGCCUUACACUGGGGGAUAACACUUAGAAAUAGGUGCUAAUACCGCAUAAGCGCACAGAGCCGCAUGGCUCAGUGUGAAAAACUUCGGUGGUGUAAGAUGGAUCCGCGUCUGAUUAGCUGGUUGGCGGGGUAGAAGCCCACCAAGGCGACGAUCAGUAGCCGGCCUGAGAGGGUGAACGGCCACAUUGGGACUGAGACACGGCCCAAACUCCUACGGGAGGCAGCAGUGGGGAAUAUUGCACAAUGGGGGAAACCCUGAUGCAGCAACGCCGCGUGAGUGAAGAAGUCAUUCGUGAUGUAAAGCUCUAUCAGCAGGGAAGAAAAUGACGGUACCUGAGUAAGAAGCCCCGGCUAACUACGUGCCAGCAGCCGCGGUAAUACGUAGGGGGCAAGCGUUAUCCGGAUUUACUGGGUGUAAAGGGAGCGUAGACGGCCAGACAAGUCUGAAGUGAAAAUCCAGCGCUUAACGUUGGAAGUGCUUUGGAAACUGCCGGGCUGGAGUGCAGGAGGGGCAGGCGGAAUUCCUAGUGUAGCGGUGAAAUGCGUAGAUAUUAGGAGGAACACCAGUGGCGAAGGCGGCCUGCUGGACUGCAACUGACGUUGAGGCUCGAAGGCGUGGGGAGCAAAC
rnacentral:rRNA from 1 species